rnacentral:rRNA from 1 species
UACGUAGGGUGCAAGCGUUAAUCGGAAUUACUGGGCGUAAAGCGCGCGUAGGUGGUCUGUUAAGUCGGAUGUGAAAGCCCCGGGCUCAACCUGGGAACUGCAUCCGAUACUGGCAGACUAGAGUGCGGGAGAGGGAGGUAGAAUUCACAGUGUAGCGGUGGAAUGCGUAGAUAUUGUGAAGAACACCAAUGGCGAAGGCAGCUAUCUGGGAUACAACUGACGCUGAGGUACGAAAGCGUGGGGAGCAAACAGG